GACUGCAUAUUUUCUUAUCCCAGUGAAAAAAACAGCCUCUGACUUCUGCUAGGGGACAGGAGAUCACCUUCUUCAUAUGAGCUGGAAGACCUGCAGUUUGCUGUCAGACUCCCAGUGGUGACCCAGCUCUCUGGAACAGCAGAAGCCACAUGCCAUGCUCUUCAAGGAUGUGCUGCUGAGGUACAUGGUUGCAUGAACCAAGCUGUUGUGUAUGCAGAGCCACAUCUGCCCUCCUGAGUGACAGAAAUUAAGCAUUUGCUGCUUCCUACUGUAUUUAAACCUGCAGAAGCCCAGAGAGCUCAUCCUCCUCAUGCACCAAGGUAUCCGUGUGUGCUUGCUCAACAGUGGGGGACUCCUUCACCAAGUAACAUUUAAGCAAAUCUCUUAAUAACACAGGGUCUACACACAGAUUAUUGUGAUCAUAAUUUGACUGACAUAGCUUUUAUUACUAAUGAUGAUGCUGGGGAUGGAAAA